UCUGGAAAGAUCUCAGGGGCAGGAUUUGUGGCUAGACAGCAGAAGACAGCAGCAGACAGCAGUUGGGCAGCACAGAGCAAGGACAGAGGGGACAAAGAGCAGACAGAGGAGCAAAUGGACACACAAGAGACAACUGUGCAAGAUGAGAGGACCCGAUGAAGACACAGUGAAUCCCAAGUCUACAGAUGUGCCAGGGGAACAGACCACAGCUGGACGUGCAUUGAUGACCCAUGUGCUAGAUAACUCUGCUUCAUUGCCAUCAAGAAGCAGCUCCUCCAGAAAUCGGCUUCCUGCCAUUUGCUGGGAAUUGCACAAGGGGUGUUUGUUGCCAUGGGAUGAGGGUAGAAAGAUAAAGUUCUUCAGUGAAAA